rnacentral:rRNA from 1 species
CCACCCCCCCAGCACUAACGCACCGGAUCCCAUCAGAACUCCGAAGUGAAGCGUGCUUGGGCGAGAGUAGUACUAGGAUGGGUGACCCCCUGGGAAGUCCUCGUGUUGC